rnacentral:rRNA from 1 species
CAGUAGCCACGGGAAAACGGAGGGUGCAAGCGUUAUCCGGAUUUAUUGGGUUUAAAGGGUCCGUAGGCGGAUCUGUAAGUCAGUGGUGAAAUCUCACAGCUUAACUGUGAAACUGCCAUUGAUACUGCAGGUCUUGAGUAAAUUUGAAGUGGCUGGAAUAAGUAGUGUAGCGGUGAAAUGCAUAGAUAUUACUUAGAACACCAAUUGCGAAGGCAGGUCACUAAGAUUUAACUGACGCUGAUGGACGAAAGCGUGGGGAGCGAACAGGAUUAGAUACCCCUGUAGUCCAUGUCUCUUAUAC